GCCAGACUCCUACGGGAGGCAGCAGUGAGGAAUAUUGGUCAAUGGCCGAGAGGCUGAACCAGCCAAGUCGCGUGAGGGAUGACGGCCCUACGGGUUGUAAACCUCUUUUGUCGGGGAGCAAAGAGAGUCACGUGUGGCUCAUUGAGAGUACCCGAAGAAAAAGCAUCGGCUAACUCCGUGCCAGCAGCCGCGGUAAUACGUAGGGGGCAAGCGUUAUCCGGAUUUACUGGGUGUAAAGGGAGCGUAGACGGCAAUGCAAGCCAGAUGUGAAAACCCGCAGCUCAACUGGGGGAGUGCAUUUGGAACUGUGUAGCUGGAGUGCAGGAGAGGUAAGCGGAAUUCCUGGUGUAGCGGUGGAAUGCGUAGAUAUCAGGAGGAACACCAGUGGCGAAGGCGGCUUACUGGACUGUAACUGACGUUGAGGCUCGAAAGCGUGGGGAGCAAACAGGAUUAGAUACCCUAGUACA
rnacentral:rRNA from 1 species